rnacentral:rRNA from 1 species
GACGAACGCUGGCGGCGUGCCUAAUACAUGCAAGUAGAACGCACAGUUUAUACCGUAGCUUGCUACACCAUAGACUGUGAGUUGCGAACGGGUGAGUAACGCGUAGGUAACCUGCCUGGUAGCGGGGGAUAACUAUUGGAAACGAUAGCUAAUACCGCAUAAUAUUAAUUAUUGCAUGAUAAUUAAUUGAAAGGUGCAAUUGCACCACUACCAGAUGGACCUGCGUUGUAUUAGCUAGUAGGUGAGGUAACGGCUCACCUAGGCGACGAUACAUAGCCGACCUGAGAGGGUGAUCGGCCACACUGGGACUGAGACACGGCCCAGACUCCUACGGGAGGCAGCAGUAGGGAAUCUUCGGCAAUGGACGAAAGUCUGACCGAGCUACGCCGCGUGAGUGAAGAAGGGUUUCGGAUCGUAAAGCUCUGUUGUAAGAGAAGAACGGGUGUGAGAGUGGAAAGUUCACACUGUGACGGUAUCUUACCAGAAAGGGACGGCUAACUACGUG